rnacentral:tRNA from 1 species
GGGGCUGUAGCUCAGUGGUGGAGCGCAUGCCUCACAAGUGUGAGGCACUGGGUUCAAUCCUCAUCACCA